UGAGCUUGAUCCUGGCUCAGGACGAACGCUGGCGGUAUGCCUAAUACAUGCAAGUCGAACGCUGAAGCACUCUGCUUGCAGAGUGUGGAUGAGUGGCGAACGGGUGAGUAACACGUGGGGAACCUGCCCAUAAGAGGGGGAUAACAUCCGGAAACGGGUGCUAAUACCGCAUAGGUGAUCAUAGCGCAUGCUUAGAUCAUUAAAGAUGGCUUCGGCUAUCGCUUAUGGAUGGCCCCGCGGCGUAUUAGCUAGUUGGUGAGGUAAUGGCUCACCAAGGCUGUGAUACGUAGCCGACCUGAGAGGGUGAUCGGCCACACUGGAACUGAGACACGGUCCAGACUCCUACGGGAGGCAGCAGUAGGGAAUCUUCCACAAUGGGCGAAAGCCUGAUGGAGCAAUACCGCGUGAGUGAAGAAGGUCUUCGGAUCGUAAAGCUCUGUUGUUAGAGAAGAACAAGAGGUGUAGUAACUGGCACCUCCUGACGGAUCAACCGAAGCCG
rnacentral:rRNA from 1 species